UAAUUGUAAAUGUCACGAAUUUAUAGAUAAAAUGUAAUGGUACAAGAUAAAGAAAGGAAGUUGUCACGACCCAAAAAUCCCUCCGAAUGAGUCGUGAUGGCACCUAUUCUCUAAACUAGGUAAGCCUAACAUAAACUGAAAUAGAAUUGAUAUUUGCCAACUUUAAAUUCAAUAACUCUUAACAAUUUACAAUUCCCAAAACCGGUGUUACAAGUCACAAGCCUAUCUAAGAGUAAUUUCACAAAAUAAUACAUCACUGCCUCGAAACAAAGGAGCAAAUGGAAGUAAAUACAAAUGAAGGUGACUCCGAGAUCUGCGAACGCUGUAGUAGGUUUACCUUGAGUCUCCACCGCGACGACCCACACAACUACUAUCAAUCCACCUGGAUCUAUACAUAAAAAUGUACAGAAGUGUAGUAUGAGAACACCACAGCGGUGCCCAGUAAGUAUCAAGACUAGCCUCGGUGGGGUAGUAACGAGGAACAGUUAGGACACCUACUGGUCAAAUGAAAUGAACAGGAUAUGAUAAUAAAACAUCAAGAUAAAUAUAACUAAGUAAUAUCAAUUGCGGAGAGAAAAUCCAAGUACAAACAGUAUAAUCAAUAAAGGGAGAACACAGAUAGCAACAAACGGAAACCAAUUAAAUCAGAUAACCCAAGCAAUUCAACACUGACAUAACAGAGACGGAGAAAAGUAAGAAUGUAUCCAAUUAAAGUAAACAAUGUUAACUCAAUCAAUCACAUCAUGUUUAAUACACCAUCCCGACCAUUUUAAUCCUCGAUUUCUCAUAUCAUAAUCUCAACUUUCGAACUUUCUGCACAUAUGGCACCUCGUGCCCACAUAUUUUUCAUCUCACUCUUAACAACAAAAUCCACAUAAUAUACAAUACAAAGUGUCCUUACAAAUGCACUUAAGAUGUUCAAGAAGUCCUAUUUACAUAAUAUAAAUUAAAUUUCAAUUUCUAAAUAAGUUUGGAAAAUCGGCGAGAAAAGAUGAAGUUAUUUUUAGAAAUCAUUCGAGUAAGAAAGUACCCCUUUCAAUUUAAAAUACAACAUUGGAAGAAUUAUUAUCUUUAACAGGGGAGUUGAUGAUUUAAAACUUAGUAGAAAUUUUAUUUUAUGAAAAAUACAACCUCAGACGAUUUAAGGGGAUAUAAUUGAGAAACUAAUUGAAUUAAGGAUGUAACAAUUAUUGAAGUUUGAGGUAUUGGAAACAUUGUGAGUUCUAACGCAAAGGAUCACAACAAUAAAGGAAUCAAACAGUUUAAACAUUUGAAUUGAUAACAACAAAUAAACACAACAGCAGAAAGUGCACGGCAUCACCCUUCGUGCUUUUACUCUCGUUCUCACCAUAAGAAUCAAUAUUCACUUUUAUUCUUUCUUGUUGCGGCGUGCAACCCGAUCCCAAUCAUAUAUCACUGACGCGGCUUGCAACCCGAUCCAAAACAUAUAAUAUUGUUGCAGCGUGCAAACCGAUCCAAAUCGUAUAAUAAUAUUGCGGUGUGCAACCCGAUCCAUAUAAUAUUAUUGCAGUGUGCAACUCGAUCCAUAUAAUAUUGUUGCAGUGUGCAACCCGAUCCAUACAAUAUUGUUGCGGCGUGCAACCCGAUACAUAUAAUAUUGUUGCGGCAUGCAACCCGAUACCAAUAUACAAAUCAACUCCAAUCACGAAAGAAUCCCGGCAAGGGAGUCAACAACAAGAAUAAACACGUCCCGGCAAGGAAACCAACAGUAAGAAUUAAAUAUGUCCCGGCAAGGGAAUCAGCUAUAACCAAACUUGUACCAACAAUUUACUUCACAAUGAAACCUCAACUACACAACAAGACAUAAUAAGCACGUGAUAACUAUAUCGGCAACCACAACAAUUGGACAUGUAACCUAUUUGCACGAAGUCAUAGAGGAACUCACAAGCAAGAAGUAUCAAAACAACAAGGAAGACAAUCACUUCAAUUAAGGCAAUUUAGGGUCAAUGUAACACGUAAGAAUUAGAGGAAAGCUAACAACGUUAUGGAGCAUAUAGAGGCAAUUUAAGCAACUAGGAAACCCAAUCAUAACAGGAUACUUUCCACAUAAGGACCUAAAAACCCUAGAGGCAAAUUUCUCACAAAUAAGUCCGAGCACACACUCGUCACCUCGCAUGCAUGGACCAUAAUUAGCAUAGAAGACUUAAUUCCUAAGGGGAAGUCCCCCACACAAGGUUAGGCAAGAUGCUUACAUUGCUUUGCAACGAAUUCAAGAUUCCAACAAGCUUUUGUCUCGUGAAUUCGUACCCGAAUUUCUCAAAUCUAGUCAUAAACAAUUCAAAAUACUCAACACGAAUCGUAGGAACUAAUUCCAUAUGAAUUUACACAUUUUCCAAACUAAAAUCCGAAAUUUAGCUCAAAAUUGCCCGUGGGGCCCAUGUAUCGAAAUCCGAGAAACUCAUAAAAUCUGACAACCCAUUCCGAUACGAGUUCAACUAUACAAAAAUUAUCGAAUUCCGAUGUCAAAUGGACCUUCAAAUCCUAAAUUUUCAAUUUUGGAAAGUUUUACAAAAACUACAAUUUCUUUCAUCCAAAUCCAAAAUAAACGAUGAAUAUUGAUAUAGAUUUAUGAAAUGUACCCACUUCUGAAUAUAGAACACUUACCCAAGUCGAAAUCGUGAAAAACCUCUUUGAAAUCGCCCAAAUCCGAGCUUGAAUAACCAAAAAUGGAAGAAAUUUCGGACCCCUUCGGUUUUUACACUGCCCAAGGGUAUUAUAGGGAUUUUACAUACCUUGCCGCGCUCCCGCCGUGCUCACAGGAAGAAAACUUUCGAAUCGGCACGGUCGUGGCGUGGCCGCGCACCUGGGCGGUAAAAUGGUCAUAACUUUUUGUAUACACCUCCAAAUGACGAACGGUUUGAUGCAUUGGAACUAGACUCAAAGAGAUUUAAUUUGAUAGGUUGUUCAUUACACAACUUCUUAUAUACAUGUAGAUAUUCUCAUACAAAGUGAGGUCUUGUGCGUACUCAUUUGCAACUUUAGUAUAUUACGAAAUUUUCCAACUUGGCUUAGACUUAGGACUUUCCUUAGACCCCAUAUAUCUUAUAGUAUGCCUCGUACACUUGAUAUCAUAUCCCAUUGGUAUUCAUCAUGGUAAUAGACCUCUUACACAUAUAAAAAAAUAUAAUUAGAACACGUCAACUUUCUUAUUUCGUCAAAAUGCACUGAAUUAUCCUAUGGACUUCCAUAUCCAAAUUCUGACAUGCGUCUAAGUCCGAAAUCACCAUACGAAGCUAUUGACAUCACUAAAAUUCUAAUUUGGGGUUUUUUGCUCAAAAGUUAACUCUUCGGUCAACUCUUUCCAUUUGCUUCAAAAAUAAGAUUUUGAUUUUCUUUAAAUUUAACUCCGAAUCUUACGAAAAAUCAAACUUGACCAUACAUGCGGGUCAUAAUGCGUAUUACGAAGCUCCUCGAGGUCUUAAGCCAUUGAACGAGACGCUAAUUCUUAAAACGACAGGUCGGGUCGUUACAGAAGCCCACCAAAUAAAACUUUGCAUUGGCAUGAAUUGACAACAGUGCAUUCAUCGCUCCUAUGAGUCUUUUAGCACAUGAAAGACAAAAAAGGUAAAAUUUUCAAUUUCCAACUUGCAAAAUAUCUAAACAAAAUAUCUCAUCCUUCCAAACCACAAACCAUCAUUUAAAGACAGAAUUCUUAAAAUGGGUAGGAUCAAAUCAGCCCUAAAAUCAAAUGGUUUAUAAGAGUAAUCCAAAUUCACAAUUAUUCACAUGGGAUUUCAACAUUUAAGGCAAAGUCCCUAAUUGAAUGCUUGAAACUAAUCAAGGAUAUAGAGAACCAAAUACGCAAGGACAUGAAUAGGAUCAUCUUGUUCAUAAAUGCAACACUGUCUUAUUAUAUGUGAAAGUCAUCCUAGAAGUUAACCUACUAUUCUCAUAAGCCAUUACUAAGGUAUCAAUUAUAUGUCUACUCUAUGAUUUUGUCACACGUUUAGCAAAAAAACAGAAUCUUAUCUCGCCAUCUCUUAACUUUUACAUGGUAUCCAUUUCAUCACUUGCAGGAGUCUUACACCACUGGAGACUAUAUUAAUGCUAUUGUUAACAGACAGAAAGCUAAAACUAUAAGUAUUGUGUUGUACCAUUUAUUUUGUAAAUCUACCAUUAUACUAAAAGGAGAAUAUACGAAAAUCAGACAAAAUCUCCCUUUUCAAACACACAGCACAAUAUCCAAUCUUGAACUAAUAAUAUAUUAAUACUACCAAAAAUUCUUCCUGGCAAACUACCAGAUUCAAACUGGCACAAUUAGGAAAAGUGAAGACAUCAAAAUUGGUCGAAUUCUCAGAGGAAAACAAAAGGAAUUCAUAUUAACUUAAGUUUUUUGUUCAUACGAGCAGAAGUACAAAAAAUGAGGAAGGCAUGUGUACCUAAUGUUCGCAAAUGGAAUCCAAAUGACCAACUAAAGGCAAAUCCGUGAAAGAUGGAGCUAAGCUGAAGCAAAUAGCCUACGGACUCAGCAAAACAUCAGCGACAGAUCCAGUGACCAAACAAAGCUUCUUCAAACCAAAUGGCACUCGAAAUUCCAGAAAAAUUGAAGCAAAAGAGAAGAAAUUCGAACAGUGUUCAAACCCUUUAUUUUUCUAUUUUUUCGUUCAUUUUUCUUUUGAAUUUGACCAUUUAUCUUGUGUGUGUUUCUUUUUAAUUUGAUGGAAAGAGGAUGAUAAAGAUGGGGAGGGGAAGGCGUUGGCUUUUUCUUGCUAAAGAGGGAGGGUCUGUUUCUGGCUCUUUGUUGAAGAUGAGGAAAUGAAGAAUAAGAAAAGAAAAGGGAGUUGGGUUGCGCCGUUGGUCUGUUUUUUUAGAGAAGGGAGCUUCUGAUUGUUUUCGGUUUUUCUCUGAUUUUCGUUAGGUCUAGAACAUGGGGAGGGUCUCUCUAAUCUAAUGUUAUUUU
rnacentral:lncRNA from 1 species